rnacentral:rRNA from 1 species
UACAGAGGUGGCGAACGUUGUUCGGAUUUACUGGGCGUAAAGGGUCCGCAGGCGGUCUUGUGUGUCAGAUGUGAAAGCCCACGGCUUAACCGUGGAAUUGCAUUUGAAACUGCAAGACUAGAGUACUGGAGGGGAGAAGGGAACACUUGGUGUAGCGGUGAAAUGCGUAGAUAUCAAGUGGAACACCGGCGGCGAAGGCGCUUCUCUGGACAGAUACUGACGCUCAUGGACGAAAGUUAGGGUAGCGAAAGGGAUUAGAUACCCGCGUA